rnacentral:rRNA from 1 species
GACGAACGCUGGCGGCGUGCUUAACACAUGCAAGUCGAACGGUAAGGCCCUUCGGGGUACAUGAGUGGCGAACGGGUGAGUAACACGUGGGUGAUCUGCCCUGCACUUCGGGAUAAGCCUGGGAAACUGGGUCUAAUACCGGAUAGGACUCCGGACUGCAUGGGCUGGGGUGGAAAGCUUUUGCGGUGUGGGAUGGGCCCGCGGCCUAUCAGCUUGUUGGUGGGGUGAUGGCCUACAAAGGCGACGACGGGUAGCCGGCCUGAGAGGGUGACCGGCCACACUGGGACUGAGAUACGGCCCAGACUCCUACGGGAGGCAGCAGUGGGGAAUAUUGCACAAUGGGCGCAAGCCUGAUGCAGCGACGCCGCGUGAGGGAUGACGGCCUUCGGGUUGUAAACCUCUUUCAGCAUCGACGAAGCGAAAGUGACGGUAGGUGCAGAAGAAGGACCGGCCAACUACGUGCCAGCCGCCGCCGUAA